rnacentral:rRNA from 1 species
UACGUAGGGGGCAAGCGUUGUCCGGAUUUACUGGGCGUAAAGAGCGCGCAGGCGGUCGGAUAAGUCGGAUGUGAAAGCCCCCGGCUCAACUGGGGAGGGUCAUUCGAUACUGUUCGACUCGAAGGCAGGAGAGGGAAGUGGAAUUCCCGGUGUAGUGGUGAAAUGCGUAGAUAUCGGGAGGAACACCAGUGGCGAAGGCGACUUCCUGGCCUGUUCUUGACGCUGAGGCGCGAAAGCUAGGGGAGCAAACGGG